rnacentral:lncRNA from 7 species
AGAGCGGGGGUCUGCUUGGGGGGUCGAGGGUCCUGGCCCUGCGGUGCUGGCUGCGUGCCCCUGCCCACGAGCUCAGCAGGAUGGAGUCACCAGAGAAGCAGCAGGAGGAUGCAGUGGCUUUCACGCAGGGCAAAAAGUGCCCCCCAAAGAAGAAUGGUGUCACAGGCUGGAUUCUGAGGAACCUCCGGAAGACCUUCCAGAGGCCGACCUCCCUGCAGCUCUCUUCUCCCAUGGCUCUUUCUCAGCGUUGCACAGCCUCUUGUCCAAACCUGAUAAUAAGUAGAAGUGAGGCCCGUGAAGAGAACCAUGGGGAUGUGGUGCCUGUUGCCGUUCAGCGUGGUGGGACUCACUGCUCCUUAUCGCCAGCGCCAGCAGGAGAUGGCUGCUCCAACAACACAACACUCCGGGGCUGGUGGAGCAGUCUGCAGGUCCAGAUGGCGUCCCGUUCCUGUGCCCUCAGACCCAGUCUUGCACCUGCUUCUCCUAUGCCUCGUUCAGCAAACUCCCCUUCCAAGGCCAAACUCUCCAGCCACUUCUCCCUCUUCUCACCACCAUCCUGGAUCCCUGAGCCUGAUUGCAGUCUUCUGCCUUGUGCUGGCUCCAAGAAACCUCGCAGAGGGAGCUGGAAGAAGAACUCUCACUGCGAAGAGCCCCCUGGUCCCAAAUCAGAAGAAUCUGCACAUUUCCCCUUCGCAGGACCCAUAAUUGCUCGGAUAACUGACUACAUCUACCUGGGGAACCUCAAUGCAGCCUACAGCGGCCGGGCGCUGUGCACAAAUGGCAUUGACAACAUCAUUGACAUGAGCAGCCUGCCCAGUGACCACAGACUGAGCAUCAUCCCCUGCACAUGUGGGAGGGGAGGAUUUAGGCACAACUGGUCACGCCUCAGGGUUGACAUCCAGGCUUUCCUGCAUGGAAAUCUUCAUGAAAUAAGGCAGCCAUGCUUCCUGGUCAUCAACGAGUGCAUCGAAGCCUUGAUGGAGAAAGGGAAGCGUGUUCUCAUUCACUGCAGGGAUGGUUACUCCUUAGGCCCUACCUGUGUCAUCCAAUACCUGAUGGUCAAGCACAGCAUGAGACUGCUAGCAGCCUAUGAACUUGUGAGGGCACGCUACCCACUGAAAAUCCAAGAGUGCCAUCAGGACCUACUGGUGGGUUUAGAGAUGUCCCUGCAGCCUGGUGGCGUCAACAUAGCAUGCCUGAAGCACUCCCUGUCAAGGAAGAUGGCAUGGAGCUAAACAGGCAUAAUGGCUGAAGAAGAAAAGCCAAAAGGAAAAUAACCUUAAGUCCAUCUCAUGGGCAAAUGAGAUGACUGUUGGUGUGGGGUAUGUGCUGACAAGAUGCAAAGGUGGUGGCCUUUCUUUGCAGCAGUUCCUAGAGGCUGGUACUGGCAGAAGUACAGCAUGGGGAGCUCUUAGAGACACACUAGAGGGAGGGGGAAAAGGACUCAUUUAAGCAGAGGCUGAAUGUCGUUUUUCAGUCUUAAUGUAAGGAAAUCCCCUGUGCUCCAGUUUGAAGAAGACUUUUCUUGGGAACUUUUGUUCCUAAGGAUGCAAGUACAUAUCACCUCCGUGUCAGGGGGUUAGAACUGCACGGUCUUUUAAGGUCCCUUCUAACCCAAGCCAUUUUGUAGUUCAAUGUGCCUCAGUCUCAUGUUCUUUUUGGGUAAGAAGAGAGCCAGCCACUGGAUUGCUCAGUUGUUCUGCCUGAGAUGAUGUAGUCAUCUGUAGUAACGGGUUGGACUAGUCCCUGUCCACUCAAUGCUAGUAGGGUGCUGAGGAGAAGAACAUCGGUGUAAAGGUGGGGAGAUGGCUGUGAGAGGCAGCUUGCACAGAUCCAUCAGCCCAGUGCUUCCAUCAUGUGCUGGUUCCCUGGAGGAACCUGGUCCAGAAGCGUCACGCUUGAGUGUCUCUACAACACGAUGCAGAACCUCCUGUAAGUGUGAACCUUUGCUUCUGAGCAGCUUUGCAGGCAGGUGGAUGUGCUCUGAGAUUGGUGGCCCAUGUCCCUGGUGCAUUGCUUUAGCACGAGGGGAGAGGAACAAGGGAUGGAGGCUGGUCUACUCCAUGGGAAAGGUACCCAAACUUGAACUCUGUGUCCACUCUUGGUUCCCGCACAAUGCUCGCAUUCCUGUUCCAUGUUCUCAGAGCUAAGACAGCUGACUGCUCACAGUCUUCCCUGAAGGACUUGCAUGGAGCUUCCUUAUGCUCUCCUUGGGUUUUUCUGCAAGGAACUCGUUCAUUUGUUGCUCAAACACUUGCAUUACUUCACUUGGAAACCUCUGUUUUUCUUAAUGUUAACUAUUGUUUUGUGGGCUUUUUUGUUGGUUUUUGUUUUUUUCUUCCAGCUGCUCACUGGGUUUCUUCCUCAGUCUAGAUCUGGGGCCCCUUUCUUUUUUUGGAGGACUGCUGCCCUAUGGUUUAACCUCUUUGCAAGGCAGCUCCAGGGAAAUUUCUUUGCAGACUGAGAGAUUCAGCCUUUUGCUCACCCUAUUACCACAUCUCACCCUUGAGGACUCCUGUAUCUCACUAAUCUGUUAACCAAUGUUUGGUUCAUGGGACUUUUCUUUGUGUUCCUUCAACCCACUCUCUGCACUGACCUGAAGAAAUGAAGUGAAAGAAGAGCUGCCAUCUGGAGGACUUGGUGGGACAGAAGUGCAUGUAAUUCUGUAGGGAGCUGGAGAAAAUGACUGGAGAAUCUUUGGAAAGGGUAAUAAAGAGUUGGUUUAACUUUAGAG